UGGGGAAUCUUGCGCAAUGGGCGAAAGCCUGACGCAGCGACGCCGCGUGAGUGAUGAAGGCCUUCGGGUUGUAAAGCUCUGUGGGGAGAGACGAAUAAGUGCGGGCUAAUACUCCGCAUGAUGACGGUAUCUCCUUAGCAAGCACCGGCUAACUCUGUGCCAGCAGCCGCGGUAAGACAGAGGGUGCAAACGUUGUUCGGAAUUACUGGGCGUAAAGCGAGUGUAGGCGGUUUGGUAAGUCGGAUGUGAAAGCCCCGGGCUCAACCCGGGAAGUGCAUUCGAUACUGCCAAGCUAGAGUAUCGGAGAGGUUGGUGGAAUUCUCGGUGUAGAGGUGAAAUUCGUAGAUAUCGAGAGGAACACCGGUGGCGAAGGCGGCCAACUGGACGAAUACUGACGCUGAGACUCGAAAGCGUGGGGAGCAAACAGG
rnacentral:rRNA from 1 species